rnacentral:tRNA from 1 species
GUGGUUAUAGCUCAGUUGGUUAGAGUGCCAGGUUGUGGCCCUGGAGGUCGAGGGUUCGAAUCCCUCUAACCACCCCA